rnacentral:rRNA from 1 species
AAUCAACGCUGGCGGCGUGCCUAACACAUGCAAGUCGAACGCGAAAGUCCCGCAAGGGAUCAGUAGAGUGGCGAACGGGUGAGUAACACGUGGGUGACCUGCCUUCGAGUGGGGGAGUAACGUCCCGAAACGGGACGGCUAAUACCGCAUGACAUCCUGCUCUUGAACGAGUGGAGAUCAAAGCUGGGGAUCGCAAGACCUAGCGCUCAAAGAGGGGCCCGCGCCU